UACGUAGGGGGCUAGCGUUGUCCGGAAUCAUUGGGCGUAAAGCGCGUGUAGGCGGCCCGGUAAGUCCGCUGUGAAAGUCGGGGGCUCAACCCUCGAAAGCCGGUGGAUACUGUCGGACUAGAGUACGGAAGAGGCGAGUGGAAUUCCUGGUGUAGCGGUGAAAUGCGCAGAUAUCAGAGGAACACCGAUUGCGAAGGCAGCUCGCUGGGACGUUACUGACGCUGAGACGCGAAAGCGUGGGGAGCAAACAGG
rnacentral:rRNA from 1 species